GCUAUAUCAAGUUGAAACACCUGUUCUCGUAUGAUCCCCGAAGUUAAGCAACAUUGAUCCUGGUCAAUACAUAAGUGGAUGAUUGCUUGGGAAUAGCAGGAGCUGUAA